rnacentral:misc_RNA from 1 species
CACCUAUAAACACCAAUGAUAGGCAAAAAUAAGUAAGGCAAUUUGCCAGCAAACCACACACUUGUUAAUAAAUACUCAGCAGCCAUUCUCAGUGAGCAUGAAUUAUCUUAAUAACAGAUAAAAAAAUUAAAAAAUUAAGGAAAAAAAAUGAAAAGAUAAGAAAAGCUACACGUUUCAAUCAUUACCAAAUAUUAUUCUUUCUUGUGCAUUGACCUUAGCACUGGCACUCUCUCUCCCUAGCUAGGUGGCUUCAAUGGCGCCCUCAAGAAACCAAAAAAACAAAACAAAUGUAACAGCUAGAAGAAAGAGAAGAGAAAAAGAAAAAGAAGUGGUGGAGAAAUAAUAGUAAACUAAAACAGGCUAGCUAAUAUCCCCAUUUGUAACGCAUUUCAUGAUCAUUCCACGCUCAGAAAAUUUUCAAAAGCACAAAGGAGUUCUUUGAAUUAAAAAUUAAAACCAUAGAGAUUAACGCAAAAGAAACAAGAAAUUCAAUUCAUGGAGAACCAUUUUCAGAUCUAUCAAAAUGGAGAAGUUGGCCAUUGCAUUUGGGGCAAUCUUCAACCUGUUUUGGGACCAUGAAGUACAUGAAGCAGCUUUUGCAACCAGCCACAACCAGGACAUGAUCUUCUUUCUGCACCCGAUAAUGUUCUCUUGAAGAAGAUGGAGGGGAGGAUUCUGAUGAUGACUCCUCACUGUCAUAUGAGCUGUCAUCUUCUGAGUAGAAAUCCCCGUUGUAGGGUGUUAGUCUUGGAUCUUCUUUGGCUUUCAUUCCAUUCCUCCAGUUUAUAUA